rnacentral:rRNA from 1 species
GACGAACGCUGGCGGCGUGCUUAACACAUGCAAGUCGAACGGAAAGGCCCUGCUUUUGUGGGGUGCUCGAGUGGCGAACGGGUGAGUAACACGUGAGUAACCUGCCCUUGACUUUGGGAUAACUUCAGGAAACUGGGGCUAAUACCGGAUAGGAGCUCCUGCUGCAUGGUGGGGGUUGGAAAGUUUCGGCGGUUGGGGAUGGACUCGCGGCUUAUCAGCUUGUUGGUGGGGUAGUGGCUUACCAAGGCUUUGACGGGUAGCCGGCCUGAGAGGGUGACCGGCCACAUUGGGACUGAGAUACGGCCCGGACUCCUACGGGAGGCAGCAGUGGGGAAUAUUGCACAAUGGGCGGAAGCCUGAUGCAGCAACGCCGCGUGCGGGAUGACGGCCUUCGGGUUGUAAACCGCUUUCGCCUGUGACGAAGCGUGGGUGACGGUAAUGGGUAAAGAAGCACCGGCUAACUACGUG